CCUGCCCCAAGAAGCAUUGUGGGUGCAGCUGCUGUGUCACCUGUGCAUCAGAAGGUGGCAGAGAGGAGAGAGGCCACGUCCACACUCAGUGUUCUGACCUGUGGACAUCUGAAUAGUUAGUAGCUUAACAUU